ACGGGUGAGUAACACGUGGGCAAUCUGCCCUUCACUCUGGGACAAGCCCUGGAAACGGGGUCUAAUACCGGAUAUCACUUCCACUCGCAUGGGUGGGGGUCGAAAGCUCCGGCGGUGAAGGAUGAGCCCGCGGCCUAUCAGCUUGUUGGUGAGGUAAUGGCUCACCAAGGCGACGACGGGUAGCCGGCCUGAGAGGGCGACCGGCCACACUGGGACUGAGACACGGCCCAGACUCCUACGGGAGGCAGCAGUGGGGAAUAUUGCACAAUGGGCGAAAGCCUGAUGCAGCGACGCCGCGUGAGGGAUGACGGCCUUCGGGUUGUAAACCUCUUUCAGCAGGGAAGAAGCGAAAGUGACGGUACCUGCAGAAGAAGCGCCGGCUAACUACGUGCCAGCAGCCGCGGUAAUACGUAGGGCGCAAGCGUUGUCCGGAAUUAUUGGGCGUAAAGAGCUCGUAGGCGGUCUGUCGCGUCGGAUGUGAAAGCCCGGGGCUUAACCCCGGGUCUGCAUUCGAUACGGGCAGACUAGAGUGUGGUAGGGGAGAUCGGAAUUCCUGGUGUAGCGGUGAAAUGCGC
rnacentral:rRNA from 1 species